GGUUGUAUAGUGUAGCGGUUAUCACUCCAGAUUUUGACUAUGUGAAAACUUCUGGUAACCCCGGUUCGAACCCGGGUACGACCU
rnacentral:tRNA from 1 species